rnacentral:rRNA from 1 species
UUCGGCGGCUAUAGCGCGAAGGCAACACCUGUUCCCAUCCCGAACACAGAAGUUAAGCUUCGCUGCGCCGAUGAUACUGCACGGGUGACUGUGUGGGAAAGUAGGUCGCCGCCGAAU